rnacentral:rRNA from 1 species
GCGUUAUCAGGAAUUCAUUGGGAUUAGAAGGGUCCGUAUGGCAGUUUUUAAGUUCAGUGAUGAAAGCCCAUCGCUCAUACGAUGAUCUGGCGACUGAUAUAGUAAGACUUGAAAGCUGAGGAUGUAGCAAGUAUAUAUGAGUGUAGCGGUGAAAAGGCUAGAUCCUAACGAUGUAUACCAAUUCGGAAGCGAGAGUACUAGUAAGUGAUUGACGCUGAUGGACGAAAGCGUGGGGAGCGAACAGGAUUAGAUACCGUGGUAGUGCACGCCGUAAACGUGGGAUACUAGGCACUCGGCGCGAGAUGAGUGGUUAAGCGAAUGUGAUAAGUAUCCGACCGCAAGAGUACGCAUGCAAGAAAGAAACUCAAGGGAAUCGCCGGGGGCCGGCCCUAGCGGUGGAGCAUGUCAACAAUUGGAAGAUACGCGAGUCCCGUCACCAUGGGUUAAAUGUAGAUUGGCAGGACUUGAAACAGUUUUUUCUUCGGACAAUUUACAAGGUGUAGCAUGGUUGUCGUCAGCUCGUGCCGUGAGGUGUCAGGUUAAGUCCUAUACCGAGCGCAACCCCCGUCCUUAGUUGCCAGGUAGUCAGGUUGGGAAAUGGAACGUGGGUGCCAGCGGAAAGAGGGAGGAAGGAGGGGAAGAUGUCAGAUCAUCACGGACGUUAUGUCCCGGGCCACACAUACGCUACAAUGGUAGGUGCAGAGAGCACCCUAGCCGGGAGCAGGAGGGAAUCUACAAAACCUAUCUCAGUUCGGAUCGGAGUCUGCAACUCGACUCUGUGAAGCGGGAAUCGCUAGUAAUGGGAUAUCAGUCAUGAUCCGGUGAAUACGUUCCCGGCCCUUGCACUCACCGCCCGUCAAG